rnacentral:rRNA from 1 species
AAGGGCACCACAAGAACGCGUGGAGCAUGUGGCUUAAUUUGACUCAACGCGGGAAAUCUUACCGGGUCCGGACACACUGAGGAUUGACAGGCAAUAAUAUCUAUUCAUUGCUUUUUUUAGUUUUGAAUUUAUAUACAAAUAUGCUAGUCCUUUCAUGAUUAUGUGAUAGGUGGCGCAUGGCCGUUCUUAGUUCGUGGAGUGAUCUGUCUGCUUAAUUGCGUUUCAUUAUGGACUAUGAUAUAUAUGUUGCGUGGUUUAUCUUGACUACUCUUCAAUGUUUUCGAUUUGUUUUCAUUAUUUGGUCUCUUUUGGCCUUAUUCUGUCUUCCAGUUGUUCUCAUUUGUAGUUCUUGAUAGAUUUGCGUACUUCUGGCCCUGAAAGCAACGAACGUGACCGCAUCCUCUUGUUGCCUCUUAUAUCUGUACAAAAUAAAAGAUACAUUAACUUUCACACUUGUGUGUUUGUUAUGCAUUUUUUUGUUACUUUGUGCUAACCAAAGAGUGCUUUCUAAAACUAGAGGGACCGCUGAGCCUUUUUUAAACCAGAGGAAGGUUGCGGCAAUAACAGGUCUGUGAUGCCCUUAGAUGUUCCGGGCUGCACACGUGCUACAAUGAUUAUUGCAGUGAGCAUCUCAUUUUUUAACACUGUAGCCAACGAUUUGUAUUUACUUAUGAAUUGUUGCAUCAGUUAAGCCUGCUUCGAAAGUUCGCAGGUAACCAAUUGGAAGUAAUGAUUUCCCUUAACUCAAAUUAAAUUUUGAUUUUGAGUAAGCACACAAUAUGCUGCUCUCCUCCCGGGUUCUUGGCAAUCUUGUCCGAGUUCCUUUGAGUGGGGAGAUGUUUUUCAGCAUGUGCUUUUGUCAAUUCAUGGUGGGGACAGACCAUUGUUAAUUGUUGGUCUCGGUCUCAACUAGGAAUGCCUUGUACGGGUCUUUGGUUCAACAAACCACCCGGAAUACGUCCCUGCCCUUUGUACACACCGCCCGUC